rnacentral:piRNA from 1 species
AUCAGAAGUAAAGUGGAAAAUGUUUGG